rnacentral:lncRNA from 10 species
GCUCUCUGCCGGCCGUACCGCACGACAGCUGGCAGCACCGUCAGCCCCUGCUCGGGAGCUCGGAAGAUGCUCUAGCUCCGCGGCCAGUGCAGCGAACCCACCCAACCCUGGUGCAGGAGCCAUUGCAGCAAAUUGACAGGGAGUCCUCUGGGCCGGAAGUGGCCCUGGCCCUGCGCCGUAUGCUCUCUAGGACUGCAGGAGGCUCGGCAUCUCGGUGAUAGACCCAGGAAGUCAGUGGCUGGGCGGGGCGGGCUGUGAGGACUGAGGUCUGUAGCGAAGGUCCAGCCCCGUGGUCUUCGCUUCGUUCGGCAACGAACGCCCAGCGAAGGGACAUCCCUGUAGAAGUUCUGCUGCGUGUGGUCCAGCCGUCCCCACUCCUCCCGGGAGAGGUACAAGGCCACAUCCUCGAAAGUCACUGGCAUCUGAAACAAUGUGAAACAUCCACUCUCCAGGACAUGACGUGGACACGGUGGAGGGACACCAUGGCAUGAGAUGUGUGGUGAGACCCCGGACUCCCAACCCACUGUGUCGAGUGAGGCCUGCCACUUCCAUCUGAUCGGGAAGCAGCCCCCAGCCUCAGCUGAGACCUCGGAGGACGGUUCCCAACGGCUACCAGCGAGAGGCCCUGUGUCUCUAAUUCCUGCUGCUUCUCCUCCAGCUUUGGCCCAGGCCUGACCAUGGGCCUUGAGCCUGGACAAUUCCAGCAACACUAGCAAGAGCCCCAGGCUUCAGGCUUGGCUGCAAGUGGGGCCAGCGGGGUCCUGGCUUUCACACAGAACCAGCAGAUGCAGGAAGGGCUGAGUACCAUGCAGGGGCCGGGGAAGGGCCACUCACCUGGGACCAGGCAGUGAGGAGCGCUGCAGCCAUCUGCCGGUCUCUGGUCCUCCCCUCUCGGGAAAGCACGGGGAUCCGGGGGGAGGGGAGGGCUGUGGGAGGAGAGAGGUCCUCACGGUGAUCAGCUCAUCCUGCUGGACCUGCUGCUACUUCAGCUGCCUCAAACUCCACCCCUGGCCCGACCCAAGGACAGGGUCGGAUGGCUCUGACGCUGCCAGGGGGCUGUGGGCCAUGGGGGGAUAGCGUCCCCUGCUGGCAUAGAGACCCUCAGCCCCACCUGGACCUGGGCCAAACCUCCACCUCCCCACAGCUGCCUCCCUGGGAAAGCGCCUCUUCCCCGUCCCUCUCCUACCUCCGCCAGGCAGGAAGAGAGCUUUCUCCUUAGAGCCGUGACUUAGGGGUGCCCAGCCCCAGGCACCUUGAGCCCCAUCCUCCUGCGAUGCCCCCUCGGAGUGUGGCUCUUCGGGCUCCAUCUUAAUGUGCAGUGACUCCUGAGUGUCCCCUGAAGGUACCGCCUCCCCCAGCUUAGAAGGCAUUUCCUGAUGAGGAUGUCCACGAUCUGGAACCUAGAAAGGACAGCCCCAUCAGCACCCAGAUGAGUGGGAGAGACACCCAGGGCCACAUGGCAGUGCGCUCCGGCAGCGUCGGAAACCAACAUGCAAGACGCAGCUUGAAGGACUGUCCUUGCUGCAUUCAUCCAGCUCACCCCAGCAAGGACGGGCGGCAAGAGGAGGAAUAUUCACCAAGCCGCCUCCACAGUGCCGGUGGGCGUGGUGCCCAAGGGCAGCUACCCCUUCUCAGCUCCAGCCUCACACUGACCUCAGCAGUGUAGACUGCUGUCUAUUAGUGUAUGAAGAAACCAAGUGUAGUGGCUUGAAUAGUGUCCUCUAAGAAUCCGUGUCCUCCCUGGACCUCAGAAUGGGACCUUAUUGGGGAAAAGGGUCUUUAUACAGGUAAGUUAAAGAUCUUGAGAUUAAAUCAUCGUGAAUUUAGAGUGAGCCUAAAAUCUAACAAUGACUUAUGUCCUUAUAAGAAUAGGAGAGGACACAGAGACACAGAGAAGGAAGCAGAGACUGGAGGGAUGCCCACACCAAGGACACCAGGAGCCCCCAAGGAGUUGGAAGAGGUAAGGGAGGGUCCUCUUAGUCUAGAGCUUUCAAAAGGAGUGUGACCCUGCUGACACCUAGAUUUUGGA